UACGUAGGGUGCAGGCGUUAAUCGGAAUUACUGGGCGUAAAGCGUGCGCAGGCGGUUUCUUAAGUCAGAUGUGAAAGCCCCGGGCUUAACUGGGGAGGGUCAUUCGAUACUGUUCGACUCGAAGGCAGGAGAGGGAAGUGGAAUUCCCGGUGUAGUGGUGAAAUGCGUAGAUAUCGGGAGGAACACCAGUGGCGAAGGCGACUUCCUGGCCUGUUCUUGACGCUGAGGCGCGAAAGCUAGGGGAGCAAACGGG
rnacentral:rRNA from 1 species